rnacentral:rRNA from 1 species
GAUGAACGCUAGCGAUAGGCUUAACACAUGCAAGUCGAGGGGCAGCAUGGUCUUAGCUUGCUAAGGCUGAUGGCGACCGGCGUAAGGGUGCGUAACGCGUAUGUAACUUGCCUUUGAGAGGGGGAUAACCCGGAGAAAUCCGGCCUAAUACCGCGUAUUCUCAAGUUGCUGCAUGGCAGUUUGAGGAAAGAUUUUAUUGCUCAGAGAUAGGCAUGCGUUCCAUUAGGUAGUUGGUGAGGUAACGGCUCACCAAGCCGACGAUGGAUAGGGGAGCUGAGAGGCUGACCCCCCACACUGGGCUGAGACACGGCCCAG